rnacentral:rRNA from 1 species
UACAGGGGGGGCAAGCGUUGUUCGGAAUUACUGGGCGUAAAGGGCGCGUAGGCGGCCAACUAAGUCACACGUGAAAUCCCCAGGCUUAACCUGGGAACUGCGUGUGAUACUGGAUGGCUUGAAUUCGGGAGAGGGAUGCGGAAUUCCAGGUGUAGCGGUGAAAUGCGUAGAUAUCUGGAGGAACACCGGUGGCGAAGGCGGCAUCCUGGACCGACAUUGACGCUGAGGCGCGAAAGCUAGGGGAGCAAACGGG